GGAGCUUGCGGCUUAAUUUGACUCAACACGGGAAAACUCACCCGGACCGGACACUAUGAGGAUAGACAGAUUGAUAGCUCUUUCUUGAUUUGGUGAUUAGUGGUGCAUGGCCGUUCUUAGUUCGUGGUAUGAAUUGUCUGGUUAAUUCCGAUAACGAACGAGAUUCUAACCUGCUAAAUAGUCCAUGUGUAAUCCUGUGUAGUUUGUGUGUAACUUACUUCGGUGAGUUUAUCGCUGCUAUACGAGCAUAUGGUACUUCUUAGAGGGAUUGGUGGAUAUCCAAGCCACACGAGAGAGAGCAAUAACAGGUCUGUGAUGCCCUUAGAUGUUCGGGGCCGCACGCGUGCUACACUGACAGUGGUAGAGAGUUUGGUAUCCUCAGGCGAAAGCUGGGGGCAAACUUUUCAAUUACUGUCGUGCCUGGGAUCGGGGUUUGUAACUAUCCCCCGUGAACCAGGAAUUCCUAGUAAGCACAAGUCAUCAGCU
rnacentral:rRNA from 1 species